GUAAAACACACUUAGGCAAUGAGGUGAUGUAUUUUUGUUCUCCCUUGCCCCAGUAUGGAAGCAAGAAAAGAUCUACCUAAGUUUAAUGUCACUUUCUAGGGUUUCCCCAGUUAUCUCCAGUUAAGAUUCAGUUCCGGUGUUCAACAGCAUAGUUAGGAUGAGAUGUCUUCCAUCCAUACAAGUACGUUCUCUUGCCAUAGCAGUGUAUGUGCUGUUGCUAUAGUAAUGAAUGUGACAUAAGGACAAAUGCUGUCUUGGCUUCUAAGGGGAGUUGCACAGUUAAAAAUGUGUGUCCAUCAGUACUGACUUGUAUUUUCAGACCACAGGUGAUAAAAACUGAUCAAAAGGUGAAGGCUUCAUCUUGGAGAUGCUUAAAUACUUAAAACUACUGGGUUGAAUUCAGUCUGCUUUAGGUCAAAAAAAACCAACCCUGAUGAAUAAACUCAAUCUCAACUAUGGCUGGUCCAAGGAGGAGGAGAUGUAUUAGAGAAGCAUUCAGUGUCCUUAGCAGCAGCAUGAAGAGAAGAUGGAGACGUGCUUCCUUUCACACCAAGUUUUUAGAUGCUUAUUGUGGUUACUCAGAAGACAGAUUACUUCACUCAAACUGCAGUAUGAAUUUCACUAGCGGUAAACAUCAAAGAAGAGUUAAACCUGUACUGAUGCAUGACACGCCAGAGGCAGUAGCUCUGGGAUGGCAUUUCCCUUUAGAGGAUCAACAGCUUGCUCUUACACCUGGAAACGUAGUCCUGCCUGUUAGAGAGUCCCACAGUGACGUUUACAUGGCACCAGAAAACGAUUUUAAAACACCAAUGGAAACAAAUGUUAAGGAGAAAUCUGCUUUUCCAACAGCCUUAGCGGAAUUAUAUGAAGUGCCUCAGAGAUCUGGAGCUAGUGCAGAGGCAAGGUGGCCCCAGAGGCCUGAAUGCCCCUCACCCAUGGAUAUUGAGCCUUCAAGAUCUAUGGGAUUUCUGGAGAACUCCAUCACAACUGCUUUGCAGCAACCCCCGCUACCAGAAUGGGACGGUGAUGUGUGAGCAAAGAACAAAUGUCUCCAGUUCUACAAUGCACUGCUGAAAACUUAAUGAAAGAAAAUUUCGUGUCACCUGAAGUAGGUGUGGCUGUUAUAUUAACAUCCCCAAUACUUCAUCCAGUCAUUAAUGCACUGUGAAACUUCUGAAAUUUUCCUAGCUUCCUUUGGACAGUGGAGGUUGUAUAGUAGAAUUGAGGUUUCAAAAUCAUAAUUGUUUAUACUUACAGGCAACUACAAGGAAAGGCUUUGUGAAGUUUAGGUGGUCAAGGACAAGUCUGUCUUAGGUUCUUACAAGGGCUGGUUGAUGGGUCUGGAAAGGCAAGGCUUCUGGGAAGACAAAUUCCCUCCUUCAGACUUCCUAGGUUUUUUGCUAGGGAAAUAGGAGUACUGGUUCAUUAAGGUACCAAAAUACUUUUUGUUGUUGUUGGAUUAAAAGUAGUGCAGGGGAUGAUGUGAUGUACACGUGACUGGGAUAUUCUUGUUGCCUUUUCUCCCAGGUUUUUCCUGAGGCAUUUCAGAGUCAGGCUAUAAAGGUAGCGUGCUGACUACUGCUAAUUUUCUUCAGGCUCUUAAGUGGUUGAGCUAGAAAGUUUGCCAAGCUAAUCCCUUCUGCAAUCAUUUAAAUGUUUGUUAUGCUUCAUUAGUCUCGAACAAUUUACUUGAUUUUAGUCAUUUUCUGAAAUGGACACACUAGUUUUUGGCAGAGCUUAUAUAUGUUGAGGCAGAUCUGAAAUUGAAGCAUCAAGUAAUUAUGAAAUAAGCCUCUUGGUCCCAUGGUAUUCUGUUCAUGUAGGCAGGUAAGGUAGCUGACACUGGAGAGUUCCAAUAGGAAGGGAGAAGUGUGAAGGACAUUUUGUUCCCCUAUUAAUUGGGUGUAUCUAUCUGCAGCAUCUUCGUUCCUGGGCGUUCCCAGCUGACAGGAACUGUUUCCAGCAGUCUCUGUGAUAAGAGAUGGCCAGAUCACUCAUGUUACUCCCUAUCUUUUCAAAGAACAAAAGUCCAGCUGAAGAUACCAGACUGCACUAAAGAAGUGAAAUGGUGUCAGCUUCAAAUGCAGUGGAGCCAGUCCUGGUAACCAUCUGUCAUGGAGCCCAGUAAGUGCCUUGUGUUCUGCUUGAGAGGAGAGAGAGAGAUGUACUUGAUAGUACAACCAAGCAGCAAUUCAGCAAUUCCAGGGCUAGGAUGUUAUGAAAUCACUCUGGGAAGCAAAGCCAAGUGUUAAGGCUGUUGCACAAGGCAAAUCCCUAAAGGCAGGAGGGUCACACCAGUUCAGUUCUUUGCAGAUACUGAUUUAGCACGGUCAGAAUGUACUGUGACAUUAGUUUCCAGGUGCAUCAUUUCAAUUUGAAAUUAGAGCCAGAGCAGAAGAUUGUACAGACUGCAACAUCUAUUGAAUGUAGUCAGAAUUUAGAGUUUUCUUCCUGCUCAGUUCUCUUGCUUUUCCUCCAGUCUACUUUCCAGAGAGUAUUAAGAGCAAGACAAAACCUGUAAAUGUUGGUGAUUCCCAUGGAAGGUAAAAGCAAGAUAUGACAUCUGCUCGGUAUCCUCGUGGCACUUUUGCCAAGACGUAACAGGUGGAUUUGGGGAUCCAUGGAAUUUUGAUACCUCUAGGUAGAAAAAAGGUACUGUCCUGUUGCCUGAAUGGUGGUGUCACCUCAAGGUCCUGUCACACCUGUAGGAUCCCGCAGACCCCUGCCAACAUGAGUGAGCUCUGUAACUUUGAACUGAAAAGCUUUCAUGUUUAGGCUGCUGGUAACAGCACUGUUCUAGGCUGAAUAGAAAUUUCACCUGGAGCUUCUCUCUCUGUACUGAAUGUAUAUAUGAAGCUUACUGUAUGAUAAACAGGUUAAAGAAAGGACUGUGUGUACUGUUGAAAUAAAUAGAUUUUGGAAGGUUUGGUAAAAGUGGCUAACCAGCCAGAGAAACGGUUACAUUGCAAAAACUCAACCUCGUCCUCUCCCAGUUUAUGAAGUCCCCAUUCAGCUUUUUUACUGCCCACUGUUCAAUCUGCCUGUCUCAGCAGUGGUGUAACCAAAAUGGUGAAUAGAACAAGCUGAAACCACAAAAAACUGGCUGAUUUAUUGUAUUUCUCAAGUGAUUCUGAUGCGUCCCUUGAUGUUCAGUUGGCAUGAAAGCCAUUGCAAGUAGCAAUUAAAACGCGCAGUAUGCAUUUUGAGAAACCAGGCACAUAUUCAGGCAAGAAAGAACUCCACGUCAGAAAGCAGAAGGCUUUUGUUGAAUGGUCCCCAAAAGUUUGGCAAAACAUUAAGUU